rnacentral:rRNA from 1 species
AGCGAACGCUGGCGGCAGGCCUAACACAUGCAAGUCGAACGAACCUUUCGGGGUUAGUGGCGGACGGGUGAGUAACACGUGGGAACGUGCCUUUAGGUUCGGAAUAACUCAGGGAAACUUGUGCUAAUACCGAAUGUGCCCUUCGGGGGAAAGAUUUAUCGCCUUUAGAGCGGCCCGCGUCUGAUUAGCUAGUUGGUUGAGGUAAUGGCUCACCAAGGCGACGAUCAGUAGCUGGUCUGAGAGGAUGAUCAGCCACAUUGGACUGAGACACGGCCCAAACUCCUACGGGAGGCAGCAGUGGGGAAUCUUGCGCAAUGGGCGAAAGCCUGACGCAGCCAUGCCGCGUGAAUGAUGAAGGUCUUAGGAUUGUAAAAUUCUUUCACCGGGGACGAUAAUGACGGUACCCGGAGAAGAAGCCCCGGCUAACUUCGUG